rnacentral:rRNA from 1 species
UGACCUCAAAUCAGGUAGGACUACCCGCUGAACUUAAGCAUAUCAAUAAGCGGAGGAAAAGAAACUAACAAGGAUUCCCCUAGUAACUGCGAGUGAAGCGGGAAAAGCUCAAAUUUAAAAUCUGGCGGUCUUUUGGCCGUCCGAGUUGUAAUCUAGAGAAGUGUUAUCCGCGCUGGACCGUGUACAAGUCUCCUGGAAUGGAGCAUCAUAGAGGGUGAGAAUCCCGUCUUUGACAUGGACUGCCAGGGCUUUUGUGAUGCGCUCUCAAAGAGUCGAGUUGUUUGGGAAUGCAGCUCAAAAUGGGUGGUAAAUUCCAUCUAAAGCUAAAUAUUGGCGAGAGACCGAUAGCGAACAAGUACCGUGAGGGAAAGAUGAAAAGAACUUUGGAAAGAGAGUUAAACAGUACGUGAAAUUGCUGAAAGGGAAACGCUUGAAGUCAGUCGCGUCGUCCAGGGAUCAACCUUGCUUUUGCUUGGUGCACUUUCUGGUCUGACGGGUCAGCAUCAAUUUUGAUCAUAUAUUGGAAAAAGAUUGAGGGAAUGUGGCAUCCUCGGAUGUGUUUAUAGCCCUUGGUCAAAUACAAUGGUUGGGAUUGAGGAACCUCAGCACGCCGCAAGGCCCGGGUGU